rnacentral:rRNA from 1 species
GUAGUAGUUAUGUCCUUGAAACCCAAAGAAUUUGGCGGUAUUUUAGUCUUUUCAGAGGAACCUGUUCUGUAAUCGAUAGUCCACGAUUUUAUUAACUUAUGUUUGUUUUCAGUUUUUAUAUCUCCGUCAUAAGAAUAUUUUUUCAGAAUUAAUUUUCUUAAUUAUUAAAGAUAAUUAUGUCAGGUCAAGGUGAAGCUUAUACAUAAGUAGAAAUGGGUUACAAUAAAUUUAUUUAAACGGAUUUUAAAUUUUAUUUUUAUUUGAAGGAGGAUUUGGAAGUAAAAUUAAUCAAUUAAUUUUUUUGAUUUUAGCUCUAAAAUAUGUACACAUCGCC